UCAUUAAGGUUUCCAUCUUUCCGAUCCUAUAUAAGUUUUUGAAUAUCCCUAAAUCAGAGGAAAGCAUAUAUAAUUUAAUUAUUCAAUAGUGAAUUUUUUUUUCCCUCAAGGUUUCAGGUUUGGCCUAAUGGCGAAGCCACUCAUCCCCCAUGACAAAGGGAUUAUGAGCCCAUCAGAUUGUUCGCCUUACAGUUUCUAGGAAAACUUCUUGGCUGGUCUUUGUUCAAUAAAAAGGUAUUUUUUAGCGUAGCUACGGCAGACAUAGAAAGCUUGGUCUGCCGAAGCUAAAUAUAUAUGUGUCAUAUCAGAUGGGCUAUUUAGGGUGUUAUCACAAGAGAACAAGAGAGAGUACUUCAGGGGAAGCAGAUGAAGGAUGAAGGGGACCUCUGCUAAGCCUGAAUACUAAUUUAUAUGACAAAAUUAUCAAUUAUGUAGAUAUGAAUUCCUCGUGACACUUAAAUAAAUAUUUCAAAAUAUUGUAGCACAUUUAUAUUUUACGCUUAUAUGCACUUUUGGGUAAUUA